CGACCAGCGAUCACCCUUUCACACUAGUUCUAUGCUAUCCCACUUUCUCAUCUACUCCCAUCACUCUCUGGGCAAUUUUACGGAGGGCAAUUAACCCUCACGCUCGCACAUCUUUGGGACUGUGGAAGUAAAAUUAAUAUCCUUCCUUAUUUAAUUUUGAUUGGAAUUGAACAAGGUAACGAAAGGGUGUAUUGAAUGUGACAAUUGGAAAUCUCUCGCGUGACCAGGUAAAGAAGAAAUUCGUGGGAAACGGCAAAGUAAGAUUAGACAUGUUACUUCCUGUCUGGGAAUGUGUUGAAGGGUGGAUGGUAAAUGUAAACGUGAAAUAGUACAGCUGAUAACAAAGCUUGU